rnacentral:rRNA from 1 species
GACGAACGCUGGCGGCGUGCUUAACACAUGCAAGUCGAACGGAGACUUAUGGAUAGAGGUUUCGGCCAAUUGAAAUAAGUCUUAGUGGCGGACUGGUGAGUAACGCGUGAGGAACCUGCCUUUCAGAGGGGGACAACAGUUGGAAACGACUGCUAAUACCGCAUGAUACAUGAUGGGGGCAUCCCGACAUGUCAAAGAUUUAUCGCUGAAAGAUGGCCUCGCGUCUGAUUAGCUAGUUGGUGGGGUAACGGCCUACCAAGGCGACGAUCAGUAGCCGGACUGAGAGGUUGACCGGGCCACAUUGGGACUGAGAUACGGCCCAGACUCCUACGGGAGGCAGCAGUGGGGAAUAUUGGGCAAUGGACGCAAGUCUGACCCAGCAACGCCGCGUGAAGGAAGAAGGCUUUCGGGUUGUAAACUUCUUUGUCAGGGAAGAGUAGAAGACGGUAACCUGACGAAUAAGACCACGG